GACGACGCUGGGCGGCGUGCCUAACACAUGCAAGUCGAACGAAGAAUGUUUUCGGAAUAUUCUUAGUGGCGGACGGGUGAGUAACGCGUGAACAAUCUGCCCCGUACAAAGGGAUAGCCUCGGGAAACCGGGAUUAAAACCAUAUAACGCUUUAGUACCGCAUGGUAAUAAAGUCAAAUCGAUUAAGAGGUAUGGGAUGAGUUCGCGUCUGAUUAGCUAGUUGGUGAGGUAAGGGCUCACCAAGGCGACGAUCAGUAGCCGGCCUGAGAGGGUGAACGGCCACACUGGAACUGAGACACGGUCCAGACUCCUACGGGAGGCAGCAGUGGGGAAUAUUGCACAAUGGAGGGAACUCUGAUGCAGCGACGCCGCGUGAGUGAAGAAGGUCUUCGGAUCGUAAAACUCUGUCCUUGGUGAAGAAAAGGACGGUAGCCAAGGAGGAAGCCCCGGCUAACUACGUG
rnacentral:rRNA from 1 species